rnacentral:piRNA from 1 species
UCAUUACAAGAUGGUGUUCUUAGU